UACAGAGGGUGCGAGCGUUAAUCGGAAUUACUGGGCGUAAAGGGCGCGUAGGCGGUUUGAUAGGUGUGAUGUGAAAGCCCCGGGCUUAACCUGGGAAGUGCAUCGCAAACGGUUGAACUGGAGUAGAUGAGAGGGUGGCGGAAUUUCCGGUGUAGCGGUGAAAUGCGCAGAUAUCGGAAGGAACAUCAGUGGCGAAAGCGGCUCUCUGGGGGCGAUCUGACGCUGAGGCGCGAAAGCGUGGGGAGCAAAGCCGGG
rnacentral:rRNA from 1 species